CAGGGCUUCACACAUGCUAGGCAAGCGCUUUACCAUUGAGCAGCAACCCAGCCCUGUAGCUAGCAAGUCUCUGUUUACUUAAUUUGCCAUAUGUGGGGCCGGGAUUGUGGCUCAGCAGUAAAGUACUUGCCUAGCAUGUGCAAGGCACUGGGUUUGUUCCUCAGCACCACAUAAAAAAUAAAUAAAAUAAAGGCGUGUGUCCCAACAACAGCUUACAAAAAAAUUUUUUAAAAAAUUUGCCAUAUGGAUGAGAAGCACCCCUUCCCCCAGUUUCUCCAGAAACAUUGUCCAGAAUAAAAGGAUAGGAAAUAAUGGCAAAAUGUUGACAUUUGUUGAACCUGGGUAUUAAGUGGGGGGUGUGUGUGUGUAUGUGUGUGUGCACAUGCACAUGCAUGUUUUUUGUGCAUUCGAAGGGAAAAGUUGAAAGAAAUACUGUGCCGGAUAGAAGGCAAUAAGGGGCUUGAGGAAUAAGUGAACAGUAUUAGAAGAGGGAUCAUUUCUAGUUUGAGAUCUGUGGUUUUCUGGAAAUCAGAAAAAGGAUGGCAUUACAGGAAGCCUUUUUUGUGGAACGAUACUGAAAGAAUGUCCAUGGAUUUUGAUGAGAAUCAAAAUGCAUAUUGUAGGUUCCUGGGAGGAAGGGGGAAAUUAGUCUGCCUAGGGUGGAGGGUAUGUUUGAAAGGCCUUUUAGCUUUAAAUUUCUUCUGGGAAAAUGUGAAAAAUAACAGUUAAAGCUAGGCCAGUAUUACAUUUGAUAUAAAUGAAAUUCACAACUUGAUCAUUUUUUGUUUGCUUUAAAGCAGUGGUUCUUCCUACUUUUAGCAGGUACACAGUGAGGAACAUGUUUAAAAUCUUCUAUAUAAUCUGUAGGGGUAGGAAGAGAAAGAGGAGAACAGAAGACUUUUAAAUUAUUGUAUGUACAAUGUAUUGACCACAACAUGGUUUGGUGGUUAAGAAAUCAGUAAAUUCUGAUUAGAGUUCUGUGAACUUCUCAACCCCUCAGUGCCAGUUCAAUGAAUUGAGUUUUACUCAUUCUUUAAGUAUUUACUGAAUGCCUUUUAUAUGCCAGACAGUUCUAGGAACAAAGGAAAAAGCUCUGGCCAUAACAGGCAUAAUUUUCUGUUUUGAAAGCUUCCAUCUUAGUAGGGAGUAGACAAGUUGGCCCUCGGUUUUAACAUCUACAAAUUAAGCCAACCUCAAAUUUAAAAUAUUAGAGGAGCUGGGUGCAGUGGCACACACCUGUAAUCCCAGCAGUUCAGGAGGCAAGUUCAAAGCCAGCCUCAGCAAAAGAAAGGCACUAAGCAAUUCAGUGAGACCCUGUCUCAAAAUAAAAUACAAAAUAGGGCUGGGGAUGUAGCUCUAUAACAACUAUUUCCAUAGCAUUUGCAUUGUAUUGGUUGUCAGAGUCAUCUAGAAAUGAUUUAAAGUAUAAGUUUGGUUAUGUGUAAAUACCCCAGCUUUUUAUAUGUGCAACUUGAGCAUUGUGGAUUUGGGGACCAACAGGGAGCUAUCUGUACAUGAAAGUCAUCCUAAAAAUGCCACUUAGAGCCUUGAUGUUGGCUAAGGUCAAUGUUCAAAGGUCAGGGAAGGCAUGUAAAAUGAGCCAAAGGGACAGAAGUAGCUAGAGAGAGAGGAAGAAAGUAAUGUUCUAGAAUCAAAGUGAAGGUGUUUUUAGGAAGCUGCUAAUGUGUCAAGUAUGAUUGGGACUGAGAAUUGACCAUUGGGUUCAGCAACCAGCUCGUGGAUAGGCAGAGCAGUUGUCAUUUGAGCGUGCCAGUUACUAAGAUUUCUGGCUUUGAGCAGGGUUGACAGUGACUGGGGUAAACAAGAGUUGGAAACAAGUCGUAUAACCAACUUGCUUCAGGAAUUUUACUGUCAAAAUAGAAAAUGGGUGGUAGGUGGAGGAGAACUUGGGAUCAAUUUUUUUUAUUUUGUAAGACAAAUAACAGGAUGUUGUAUGUCUAGUAGAAAGUGGGGAGUCCAUUGGGGGUGAAUGGGUGGUGAAUUGCUGGAGCAGCAUCUAAGUUGAUGAGAGGAAUGGGUCAAAUAUACCAGCAUCCUUGGGUUGUCCAUUUUUAGAAGAGAAAGCAGAAUGAAAAAAUGAAAAGUAUGCAUCUGAUAAUAUGUAUCAUGUUAGAUUGCCUCAGAAAUAAAAUGAGUUUAUUCCAUAGAAUAGUUGCUGGCAUGUGUUAAACACCUCAAAUGAUGGCAAUUACUUUCUCUAGAUGGGUUCCAGGUCCCAAUGUAUGGAAAAGUAUGUAUUCAUUAGGUAUUUUGGGGUACAAAUUAAAAUGGAAAAUAAAAGAUGACGGAGCCUAAUUUACAAGGAUUAGACAUACUAUUUCAACUCUAUGAUGUAAAAGCAAUACACAUUUAAUAAAAACCAAUACUUGGAAAUUUGAAUUUGGA
rnacentral:lncRNA from 1 species